UCACCUCGCCAUUCACCGCCCUUCGAUCAAAAGCUUCAGAGUCUUCUAUGUCUUUUCCAAAUGAUCACUAUCCCACCUUCAAAUCCAUUUUCUACUAUCCAGUGGCCCCAAGAUUUUAUCCAGUCCAGAAAAAGAAUGUUACGAUGUGUGCGUCUGUGGAUGGUGUGGACUCACUGAGUUCAACUUCUUUUUCAAUGGUCAGUCCAAAAUUUCUCUUUUGAACAUUUAGUGAUUUAUCAAUUUGGCAUGUUCCCCGAUGUUCAAAUGAGGAUAUUUUAGCCUGUGUGUAUGUAUCAUUCCAUCUUAUUGAAAAUAACCUUCCGGCUUUUCUGAAAAAAAUUUGUGAGCCGGUCGAUGGGAAAUUGAUUAUUUGUUAAAAAACGAGUGCAGAGAUGGACCAAGGUCAUACUUUCAAACUAGCUGACCUUACACCUGAGGCUAUUGAUUUCUUCCGGUUGACUCAAAUUCUUUGUUCCCAAACGGUACCAGUAUCAUACUAAUAGAAUCAUCGAGCACUAUAAUCUGAUGCACCUACUUAUUGAUAGGAAACAAGGAGCAGAAAGCAACUAGCAACUAGCAGUGAUCAAAUCUCACUCUGUUAGAGACAGCCGAAAGGCGAAAACAUAAUUAAUGAUAAAUAGAUACGAAUAGAGCAUGAAAUGAAAGAAUAAAAAAUGAUAACAUGUUACACUUCAGGACUAUGUUAUUUCCAAUUUUUUGUUUUCCGGAUGCGCUAUCCUAAUCCGCCAAUUUGUCUGUUCAGUGAUAUUUGUUAAGAAAAAUCACCAGUAAGUCCUAUUUAUACUUUUAUAUUG